CCAAUAGCGUAUCUUAAAGUUGUUGCCGUUAAAAAGCUCGUCGUUGAAUUUCGGGGUUAGUAGGUUGGUCAUGCCUCCGGUAUGUACUGAUCUCACUGAUUCCUCCUUCCUUAUGAACCGUAAUGCCAUUAAUUUGGUGUUGCGGGGAAUUUGGACUGUUACUUUGAAAAAAUUAGAGUGUUUAAAGCAAGCUAACGCUUGAAUACAUUAGCAUGGAAUAAUGAAAUAGGACGUUCGAUCUUAUUUUGUUGGUUUCUAGGAUUGACGUAAUGAUUAAUAGGGAUAGUUGGGGGCAUUAGUAUUCAAUUGUCAGAGGUGAAAUUCUUGGAUUUAUUGAAGACUAACUACUGCGAAAGCAUUUGCCAAGGAUGUUUUCAUUAAUCAAGAACGAAAGUUAGGGGAUCGAAGACGAUCAGAUACCGUCGUAGUCUUAACCAUAAACUAUGCCGACUAGGGAUCGGAUGAUGUUAAUUUUUUAAUGACUCAUUCGGCGCCUUACG
rnacentral:rRNA from 1 species